UUUAAUGUUUAAUGUUGUAAGAAAAUGAGUGUAUCAUGGUCGUCUUCCCAUUCCAAAAUCAAUUGUUUUUAUUUAGCAACAUAUUAAACAGUCCAAAAAUUUAUUAUCUUCAUUGUUUAGCGAUUUCAUAUUUCUCGAAAAAAAUUCUUUAUCAAUACUUUUUUAUUAUUAUCAAAUUUCAGAAGUUCAGAAUCGGAGGUUCUAGCGGAAUGUUAACACGUGGUGCCAGUUUACAUUCUAACUAUUCAUAUCCGGGACUUCAAACCCAUGUGGGAAGGAUUUUAAAGACACAGAGUGGAAACAGUGGGAGCAAUGAACAACUAGUUCACACAGCUGAUUCUCAAGACAACCCUGGGUUUGAUUUAGAGAUAGACAAAUCCAAACCAAACCUGAUCAAGGUACACACCAAACCAAACC